CGCCCGCGCUCGUCCGCAGCUUGCUGAGACCGACCAGAGAGGGCAAGCCACUGGCUCCGCGUCACACAGUGUCGGGACUGCUGAGGUCUACUCGGGCACCACGCCCCUCCGCUUCCCCUCUAGGACCCACGCUGUUCUGUAGGGCGAAGGGAGGGCAGGGGAUCUGGGCCUGGAGUCUGCGCUCCUCAUCCUGCUAGAGCAAUGACCUGGGCACCAAAUACAUGCUGGGAUGGGUCUCAAGUAGCCUGGCAACUGUCUUUGAGAAUAUGGUAGGACAGUCUGGACCGAGGACCCCAAGUCUGGGGGAAGAAAUAGCCUGGAUGGCGGAGCUGGGCCUGGAAAGGGUAGGGACAGAGAAGGUGCGUGUGCAGGGCUGUGCCUAAGGAAAAGACGAGGAUGGGAAAGCGUUGCGGCCUGUGCAGUGGAGAGCAGAGGCGUGGGGAACACACAGUCCCCGACCCUGAAAACGGGACUGUCCUUCCUAGGCAGAGGUCCCCCGUCCCCCGCCAGGUGGAGCAAGGGCGCCCGUAGCCGGCAAUGCAUCCAAGCAGCGCCCCCUGGUGACUAAAAGCGGCGAGGCGAGAGGCUGGAAGGACUCAGCUGCCGCGGUCCUGCCUGGAGUUCCUUCUGCCUCCUGAUCCUGCCAUGAGGUACUGUGCUCCUAUGGGCCUGAAAACAAUGGAGCCAAGCAACCAUGGAUGGAAACCUCCACAACUGUAAGCCAAAACAAGAUGUUUGUUACACUAUGGGAGGGCUGACGUGCAUGCUCAUGUUUUUGUGCCUUUGGCGGUAAAGGGGCACAGAAUCUCUGCUGACCCCUGCAUAUGCUACCUCUGACAAGGAUGAGCCAGGGACAGGCACAGCAGAACCCUGGAAAGAGCAAGGAGGGUUGGGAACAGGACAGGAGGGGACCGGCUUUCCACUGAAACAUUCCACUUACACACACGUGUGUAUAUCUAUGUAUGUAUAUUUCUGUAUAUGUAUGUACACACACCUAUGUAUACGUAUGUAUAAUCUCACUAUACAGUUGUACUGCUGGGUUUGCUGGUUUUUUUUGUUUGUUUUUGUUUUGUUUUUUGUUUUUCAAGACAGGGUUCCUCUGUGUAGCCCUGGUUAUCCUGGAACUCUGUAAACCAGUCUGGUCUCGAACUCAGAGAUCUGCCUGCCUUUGCCUCUGGACUGCUGGGAUUAAAGGUAUGUGCCACUAUCCCUGACUUGAAUGUAUUGCUUUUUUUCACAAUAUGUUUGUAAAUAAUAAAUUUCUGAAGCUGGAAAGAUGGCUUAGUGGUUAGGAGCACUUGUUGCUCUUGAAGAGGACCUGGGUUCAAUUCCCAGCACCCACCUAGUGGCUCACAACCACCCUUAACUCCAGUCCCAAAGGAUCCAUGAGCACUGGGUACACACACAGUGCAUAUACCUACAUGUAGGCAAAACACUCAUACACAUAAAUGUAAAAAUUAAAAAAGAAAAUAGCAAUUCUGAGCCUAGACAUGGUGUUGGAAGUGUGGUAUCCAGGGCCUGCUCUGGCACAGGCUUGGGAGGAUGGCCUACAUGACCUCAGGAUUGAGGGUGCCCUUUCUGAGUCCUACAGUUCCCUCCACCAGUGGACAGGAAGCAGAAGACAAGUGCCCACCUGAAGGGACACUAGCCCACUGGAGCAUGGCUCUGGCAGGCCUUGCCCUUCUCUCCCUUUCCCUCUGCCUUGAUAAAAACCAUUAGAUUACAUUCCAAAAGCUAGCCACCAAGGUCUAUUUCCUUAUUUGGCCACUUCUUCUUCCUGAGGCUGACUACCAAGGUCCAGCUAUCAAAGUAUAGAAGUCCAAAAAUCAGAAUCCCCCUUUGGCUCACCUAAUUAACACGCCCAAUUAAAAUUAAACACCUUAUCCUAGGAUGGGGUUUCCCCCCUUUACCAUUACGUUUAUAAACCACCAUUUUACUGUUUCUCUUCUCUAUCCAGAGGCAACCCUUUGCCUCUGGAACACGUGCCCCUUCCCCUUUCCCGUGUCCCCCUUCUCUGUUAUUACCCCAUCCUGGCCCAUUCUCACACAGACCUCUCCCUUUUGUCUUCUUAGAAAUGACACCUGCAAGGUCAUUUGCUGCUGUUUUUCUGCCUGACUCAGAAAGCAGUCACUGUAACUUUUCUUCCCCACGUAAUAAAAGAUCUCUCUGAGAAAACAGCUGGCUGUCUAUAUGCAACAGGACACUUUGAACACUGACCUCCUACUGCACAGAACUUUGGCUCAAAACAAUCAAAGAUCUGAAUGGGAGACUGGCAACUCUAAAACUCUUAGAUAAAUCACAAGACUGAAGUGAGUUAGGCCAUGAUUUCUUAUACAACACUAAAAUGCAAAGGAUAAAAUAAAAAUCAAUAAAUGAGACCUUAUCACAAUGGGAAACCUUGCAUAUCAAAAAAGACCAUUAGCAAAGUGAAAAGAGCCAGGGAUGGUGGCAUACACCUUUAAUCCCAACACUUAAGUAGAGGAAGUCGUCUCUCUGAGAGUUCCAGGCCUGGUCCACAUAGUGAGUUCUAGGACAUCCAGGACUAUGUAGAGAGAUCCUGUCUCAAACCACCCCCCCAAAGUGAGAAGAUGGCCCAUUCACAGGAGAAAAUAUCUGUGAGUCUUGUGACCUCAGGAAGUGCUUAUGUUUGGAGCAUAAAGAAAACUCUGACUCAAUGAGAUCAUACAAUAAAAAUCAGGAUCAGGGUUGGAGAGAUAUUUUGCCCACAGAGAUAUAUAAAGCCUGUGAAUGCAAUCAAAGACCCCAUCACUGGUCACAGAGGACGUAUAAAUCAAAGCCACAGAGGACAGCCCUUCACACCAAAGAAGAUGCUGGGAUUGCUGUGGAUGACAGCUAGUGUGGGAAGGGACAUAAAGAGCACCUUCGAUGGCAUAAUGUGGUGGGGGUGGGAAGGAGCCUCUGCUUUGAAGAGGAGCUUGACUGUUUCUUCUAAUGUGACCCAGGACUACACUCAUAGUUAGCAGCUUGAGAAAUGGAAGCCUGUGUCCACAGACAAAUGUUGGCAAAAACCCACAGCAGUAUCAUUUGUAAAUGCCUGAAGUUGGAAUCACUAGUGUCCAUCUUCUAGGGACCAGACAAGUCAGAGAUGGACAAUAGACUGUAACUCAACAACACAUGGAAAUAAAGUGUAGACAUGCUGCAGCCCUUGACUCCAUGCCAAGACAGCAAAAGCCACAUGUCGCAGGUCUCCAUCCAUAGCUUCCAAGGCAACUCUACAGAGACAAGAGAGCUGAUGGGUGCCAAAGAUGCACAGGGGACAAAGGAAGGAGUGGAGUGCCUUAGAAUAACGCGGUGGUGGUGCUGCUAAUACUACAUGGCCAAUAUGCUAAUAUUGUGGAGGUAUACAUUUACAACGGCUGGGUUUUAUAGCAUACACACUACCCUUUAAUGAAGAUGGCAGAAAACACACAAAGACUCAAUGCAAUGAAAGAAUUAGAUGGAUCUGGGAGUGGUGGCAGCAGCUGCGAUCAGCACUUAGGAAGUAGAAGCAGGAGGGUCAGGAGCUCAAGGUCAUCUUCAGCUACAUAGAGAGUCCAAGGCCAACCUGGGCUGCAUGAGACCCUGCCUCAGAAAUUAAAAGGAAGGCAGGCUAGGAGGGAGGGAGGGAGGGAGGGAGGGAAGAAGGAAGGAAGGGAGGGAGGGAAGGAAAAAUUUGAUGUUAAGAACCUGAUUGGGGCAACUGUCAAAAUAAAAACAUGGCUUGUAUGAACGUCAUUUGGACUAUUGAAUGUCCUGUUCUAGGAAAGAGACUGGAUGGAGUAUUAUUAGAGGUAAAUGUCUCACUGCACACUUGCUGUGACCUCACAAACAGAGCCAAGAGGGAAAAAAAAAAUCUAAAUGUACCAGAACAAAAUUUUGUGACAUUUUACUAAUGGUGACUGGGGUGAAAGGGACAUGGGAGAAGCCUACCUUUGUCAAAUUAUUCUCGAAACUCUGCCUUAAGAGUUUAGGGGAUUUAGUUCAGUGAUAUACAGAACUGCAAUAGCAUACCCAGGACUGUAGGUUCUGUCCCCAGUGCUGGAAAACUAAAACUAAAAAUAACAGGGUAAGAGCUGAUGAGAUGGUUUAUCGAGUGAAAAAGUGCUCACCACCAAGCCUGACAACCUGAGUUCAAUCACUCCGCUCCUGGAACCCACAUGGUGGGAGGAGAGAACUGACUCCCCACAGCUGUCCUUAGACCUCCACAUGUGCACCACGGCAUGCAUA